rnacentral:rRNA from 1 species
AGCUCCAAUAGCGUAUAUUAAAGUUGUUGUGGUUAAAAAGCUCGUAGUUGGAUCUCGGCGGCCUUGGGGCGGUUCGCUUGGUUGAUUGCUUCUGCUCUAUGCGCCGCGGUUUUUCCAGGGGUCUCGGGGCGCUCUUAACCGAGUGUCCUGCGAUGCUGGCAGGUUUACUUUGAAAAAAUUAGAGUGCUCAAAGCAGGCUUUUACGCCUGAAUAUUCGUGCAUGGUAAUAAUAGAAUAGGAAGUCGUUUCUAUUUUGUUGGUUUUCGGAAAUCGACUUAAUGAUUAAUAGGGACAGUCGGGGGCAUUUGUAUUCAAACGACAGAGGUGAAAUUCUUGGACCGUUUGAAGACAAACUACUGCGAAAGCAUUUGCCAAGAAUGUUUUCA